GUGGUCUCUGGAGACCAGACUGAAUCAGAGGCAGAGAGAUGUGAUGCAGCGACGGCGGCACCAAACGUCUGAGGUGAGGAACCAGCGAGCGCGUGUGUUCACGAGGAAGAGAAAAGGGGGGAGGAGAGGAGGGGAGAGAGGCAGCGAUGUGAUGUGAUGGCUUAAGAGAGAGGAGGGGGGGGGUUCUACUGCUGAGUAAUAUCUCGCUAUUGUUAAAUGAAAGGCAAAGGUAUGAUAUGUUCUUCUUCUUUUCUCUUCUCAAGACUGGUCCUCGAGAAGAAAAAAAACAUCUGGGUUUGGUUUGUUAGAAAAAAUGUGGGUGAGAAAAAAACAAACAAACAAACAAACCAACAGUGGUUCAGAGAGGAGCAGAGCGGGAGGGAAAGCUCAGCGGGGAACAACAGCAAGUCAAUACCACGUUGGGGUUUGGAAAACGUGGACGAUUGGACAAUGAAUCCUGCGCCUGGAGACACCUGUUCCACAGAAUGAGCAUCACUUAUCCUUUUUUCUUCUCCUGGAUCCCAACCGACAUGAUUCACACGGAGAAACCACAACCCGCUGAAAAUGAAUACACACACAUUUGUAAGCUACAAAUGGAUCUUCAAGACGUCACUACUCAUGUGACUUCUUGUAUAUUCUUUGAAGCCUUCUGGAAACUGUCCCACUUGAUCUCAUCCACUUUCCAGGCGAGUGUGCCUAAUAUCUUUUUUUAGUUGUGAGUCAAGCAUAAUUGCACAGCAGUUGCCAUUGAUGGUGUGUGACAUAGUGUGACACUAUCGCAAUGAUUUUAAGAUCUCUAUGGACAUUUGUGUUGCACUCUCUCUCAUCUUUUACAGCCCACCUGGAGCAAUGCGAGGAUCUGAUUACUCCCCUUUUAGGGUCUGCGUCUGUCAAAGAUGCUAAUCAAUUUACUGAUUGAUUCAGUGUCAAAUUAAAUAGCCCAGUAAACCUUAGUCUUUAUGCGAGUCCUCAAGGACCUCUUGGACAUCAGAGGAGUCCAUGUGCACAAGAUCAAGGUUAAAGUAGCUCUCCGUGUGCAGGCUUGUUUAUGUCUGCGUGUCCUCUGUCAAAUGGGAAAAUUGUGUUUUCAUCAGGACUGUGGAGUGAUUAAACGAUGAUGUAACCAUU